rnacentral:tRNA from 1 species
GUUGUUGCAGUAUAGUGCUAAGUAUUCCCGCCUGUCACCCCGGUGACCCGGGUUUAAUCCACGGCAACAACG